UGAAAAUUUCUAAUAUUUGUUAGGGAUGAUUCAAACUUCUACUUGCAAUCUUAUUAUAAAAUAAUGGUAAUAAUACCUAAAACUUCUCCGAAAAUACUACAAAUUGACAUGACAACAUAUUUUUGGUCUAUAAGCUAGUAAUAAAAGUUUUACAAGAUUUUAUUAAACUUAUACUAUACACUAUUCCAAAUGGAUACAUCUCUCACAUAGUUUCUAUUAACUCAAGUCAAACUUAGAGAUUUAAGUAGCACUUUACAUAUU
rnacentral:lncRNA from 1 species